CUCCGGGCUGGAGAGCCAGGAGCCGACCCGCGGCCCCGAGGAACCGGACGGACGCGCGGGCCAGCCAAUGGCAGCCGCCGGCAAGGACGAGGCCGCCCCGCCCCCUGGGCUCUGCGACUGACUUUGGGACCAGGUGUCCCGGUCGUGGUCUAGCUGGAAGGCGGCAGAGCUGGGGUCGGCACGUGCUGGCCCACGCGCACCUCUAGCCACCCGGGGAAGCGGGCUGGGGGGGCUCCGCGAGCCGGCCGGCUGCUCCCGGGCGUGCACGCGUGGCCGGGGACCCCCGAGCCUUCCCCAGGAAGCUUCUCCCCAUCCGAACGUGCCCACUCGGGACGGCAGGAAGCGUGGUGAAGUCCGCGAACGGCAGGCUCGGGACGAAGGGGAGGCCGAGGAGUGCUAGAGGGUCUAAUGCCUACGGGCUCGUAAAUUCAGAGCUGGAAACGACCCCGUUAUUUUAAUAGAAAAGGGGAGUUGACUGAGGUCGCACAGGUAGUGAGAUUUGAAUCCAGGUCCUGGGACUCUUAAAUAGAGCGCUCUUUCAAUUGGACCAGAGCUCUGAGCCGGAAGGAGGAAGCAAUAAUUGAAUCACCAGAGAGAGGAAAAAGGGCAGUUGCCUCUAAGCCUCUACCGGCUGAGUAUACUGAUGGACACACCUUGAUGGGUACUGGAUGCUAGCGCCACCUUUUCGAUGCUCUACAUCAACACCUAGAAGAAACUUAGUACAUCUUCAUUGAACUGAGCCAAAUCCCAGAAUUGUUGCAGUCUUGUUUAAUGAAAAACUGGAAUAGAGAGAAGUUAAAUGAUUUGCUGAAGACCAAAUAUGACAUCAGUUUGUUGCAGUGGAACAAGAAAAUAUUACUGACCGCAGAUCCAUACCUACUUUCCAAUCUCCAUAAAAAGACUGAGACUAAUCUCCAGAAGCACCAUGGACACCCUCAGUGAAGGUUAUGAGGAAGGAACAGGAAGGCUUUUGCAAACACUACUCUGCAGAUGUUUAGUCACAUGACUGAUUAAAGUCUUUUAAGAAUACAAGAUCCCAUUGUGCUUGUUCUCCAUUGACUGUUUAAAUCAAGCAUUUGAUUCAAUAAAGCAGACUUUCUUGAAGGCCCUGCUCCAUCCACACGAUUCCCACAUAAGUCAAAGCUAAAUGAGAGUUACUUAAUAAAGGAAAACAAAGAGAACUUUGCUCAUUAUUAUAAGCAAGCAGUGCAUAAGGCAGGGAAACAUGCUCAUCAAAAACAGUUUUUCCUAUCCCCUUCCCACCCUUCCAGCCUUCUCACACUUUGCUCCCCUCCAUGUGACGUAGCAUUCAGCUACACGGUUCCUUGAACAUGACCAUUUCCUUCUCCCCUGCCUUUCCAUUGGCCCUGCUUGGGAUUUCCAUCUCUCGCCUUCCCUCACAUUCUUCAGGAAAUAAAAAAGCCCACCUUUUGAGGAGGCCCUUGCCCUGUGCCCCCGCAUCUCCCCGUUGCUAACGCCUC